CACCACUCAAGCCUCGCUUGGUAUUGGGCGAUGAGACACCCCUCACGCCUCAAUUUCGCCGGCUGGACCGACUGGAUUCUAGCGUUGUGACAUCAAAUCUCGCUGAGAAAACAGAGGUUCGCGGCCGCAAAUAACCCGGACGGAAGUCCACCAAGG
rnacentral:misc_RNA from 1 species